AACGAACGCUGGCGGCGUGCCUAACACAUGCAAGUCGAGCGCGAAAAGGGCAACCUGAGUAGAGCGGCGCACGGGUGCGUAACACGUGGGUAAUCUGCCUCAAAGUUUGGGAUAACCUUCCGAAAGGUUGGCUAAUACCGGAUAAGCUCACGAGGUCUUCGGACUUUGUGGGAAAAGGUGGCCUCUGUUUACAAGCCAUCACUUUGAGAUGAGCCCGCGGCCCAUCAGCUAGNGGCGGGGUAAAGCCACCAAGCUACGACGGUAGCUGGUCUGAGAGGACGAUCAGCCACACUGGAACUGAGACACGGUCCAGACUCCUACGGGAGGCAGCAGUGGGGAAUUUGCACAAUGGGCGAAAGCCUGAUGCAGCAACGCCGCGUG
rnacentral:rRNA from 1 species